AUCUUCAAUACAUGACCACACUUGAGAGUCAUAGCCUGAUUUCCUGCCAUUCCCUGAACUACUAACAAUUUCUUAAAUACAUUUUGAUUUUUCCUCCUUUAAAGAGCUCACUCAGCUACCUCACAGCUCUCCCUGACCAUACUCUACCUUCCGCCUGUGAGCCCUUGACAUUCUCGCUAAACCUUCUGUUCGAGCACAUCUCACACAGUCUUGUUAAGGUAGUGUUUUCCCCAAGAGAAUAAACAAGUAAAUGAAUGAAUGUAAGGAAUUGCCUGUUCUACGUAGAGGCACGUGGACAGAUGAAAUGACCUUUCAAGGGUCCUUCCUGACGAGGAUUGCCUUUGUUGCAGCAGUGGCCUUUCCUGUCCUCUUUAACCACCCUAGGCUCAGUAUUCCCUCUGCAAAAACCCAGUGAUAUUCCCAAAGACCCAGCACCAGCCCUUCAAAAUUAAGCCAGAAGAACCCAUGUUGAGGUCUUAGGCAGACAGGAGGCCCUGACUGGUUCAGCGCACAUUGGGUCCUGUAGUCAGAUAAAUUUGGUCUGUUUUCCUCUUUGCCACAUGGCUGUCCAUAAUAACUGUCCUCUAUCUUUUUACUACCAAAGGAGCAGGUCUGAUUUCCUCCAACCAAAAGAGCCUGAACCCACCCAGUUAUGAGAUGAAUAUGAAACCAACUAACCCUGGGGGCUCUCUAGUCUCAUCGCAUGAUUUUUCGUUAAGGUAUCUCUGCUGUUUUCCCCCAGAUCAGGGAUCCACAGGGGACUCUAAAUUCUUUGGGUGUCCACCCCCUCAGAGUCUUUGUGGCUUCAACUAUUCAUAAUAGUUGGGUUCAACAAAUAGACACGACUCUUUCUAGAGAGUGAGAGAGCUACCUGGGAAACAUUUUGUUCUUGAUAACGUUUUUCCUCUCUGCCUGUCAUUGGGAACAAGAAUGAUCAAAAGUACAUUGUGGAACAUGGGAUGGGAUUGUUCUGAGCUUGCUCGAUUACCUCCCCUCUUAGCUCUCUUAUUUCUUGUCUUGCUGGCAAGUAUCUGCAGUGAUUACUUUCCCAAGUCUUGUAGUGAUGAAAAUGACUUCAUCUCCCUUUUCUUCCCUCAGCUUUGUCUGCAACUGUUUCUGUUUUGUUUUGUCCAGCAGUCAUUAUCAGAGUAGUUAACAUUCUAAAUAUCCUUCACUUUAUUAUUAAACUGCCAGCUUUUUCUUUGCAAGGACUAAACCGAGAGAUAAAAUGAUAUUUAUAUGCCCUAAAAAUACCCAAGGUAUUUUUUAAAAAAAGUUACGUCUACAAGGUAAGCUGAGAGAAGAAUGAUAAGGCCAUGUGAAAGAAGGCUGAAGCUGAUAGAAUAUCUAAAUGUUUUCUAAUCACAGAAAAACAGCUUACAGUUCAAAAUCUUCACCGGCUCUAAGGGCCUUUAUUUAUUGUUACAAACAAUAUGGGUGUGGUGCACAGGAAGCCAAAGCUUACUUUCUAGCCAGUUCUCAAGCUUCUCUUCCCAACAUUUAGUUAAUUAAUUAAUCAAUUUUUGUCUUUUGUCUUUUUAGGGCCACAACUGCAGCAUAUGGAGUUUCUCAGGCUAGAGGUCUAAUCGGAGCUACUGCUGCUGGCCUACACCAGAGCCACAGCAACGCCAGAUCUGAGCCAUGUCUGCAACCUACACCACAGCUCACGGCAACACCGGAUCCUCAACCCACUGAAUGAGGCCAGGGAUGGAACCGCAACCUCAUGGUUCCUAGUCAGAUUUGUUUCUGCUGCGCCAAGAUGGGAACUCCCCAACAUUUAAACUUGAGAUCUUUGUAGGCCAAAGUGGGAAGACUGUUCAAUGGGGGAAGCGGGGUAUGGGGGUUGGGGGGGGUGGGCACUGAGAUUACAUCAUCACCCAGAAUUCAUUCAUUUAUUUAUCAUCCAUCCAUUUAUCCUAAAUAAAUACCUAUUGAAUAUUUACUAUGUUUCUGUGUUCCAAACACCAUGCCCUAUCUGGAAUACAAAGAACAUUGUUUCUUUCAAAAGAUGUUUACAGCAGCAUAAUUUAAGAGCACAAAGUUCAUGGGAAAUAUCCAAAAGUAGACACAACCAUUAAAAUUAUAGUUAUAAAGAAUGAAGUUCUCGUCGUGUGCAGUUGUUAACGAAUCUGACUAGGAACCGUGAGGUUGCAGGUUCGAUCCCUGGCCUUGCUCAGUGGGUUAAGGAUCUGGAGUUGCCGUGAGCUGUGGUGUAGGUUGCAGAUGCGGCUUGGAUCCCGAGUUGCUGUGGCUCUGGUGUAGGCCGGUGGCUACAGCUCCGAUUGGACCCCUAGCCUGGGAAACUCCAUAUGCCGAGGGAGCGGCCCAAGAAAUGGCAAAAAGACAAAAAAAAAAAAAAAAAAAAAAA
ensembl:lncRNA